GUCGUGCUGCGGCUCACGUCAGCGAACACCUAAUCCUUCUGACCUUAAUCUCUUAGAACGGGGGCUGUCCCUGACUGGGACCGUGGUCCCUAUCAUAUGGCUCCCACCUGAUACGUCAGGUCUGAGUGGAUUUAAACGCUUCGCAACGGUUCUCGUGGCGCCGCC
rfam:Asticcacaulis excentricus CB 48 chromosome 1, complete sequence.